rnacentral:rRNA from 1 species
CAACGCGUUGGGAGCUCUCCCAUAUGGUCGACCUGCAGGCGGCCGCGAAUUCACUAGUGAUUCGUAUUACCGCGGCUGCUGGCACGGAGUUAGCCGGAGCUUAUUCUCCCGAUACUGUCAUUAUCAUCUCGGGUAAAAGAGCUUUACAACCCUAAGGCCUUCAUCACUCACACGGCAUUGCUGGAUCAGGCUUUCGCCCAUUGUCCAAUAUUCCCUACUGCUGCCUCCCGUAGGAGUCUGGGCCGUGUCUCAGUCCCAGUGUGGCUGAUCAUCCUCUCAGACCAGCUAAGGAUCGUUGCCUUGGUGAGCCUUUACCCCACCAACUAGCUAAUCCUACGCGGGCUCAUCCCUGGGCGAUAAAUCUUUGGACUUUCGUCGUCAUCCGGUAUUAGCAGUCAUUUCUAACUGUUAUUCCGAACCAAGGGGCAGAUUCCCACGCGUUACGCACCCGUGCGCCACUAAGGCCGAAGCCUUCGUUCGACUUGCAUGUGUUAGGCAUGCCGCCAGCGUUCGUUCUGAGCCAUGAUCAAACUCUAAUCGAAUUCCCGCG